CCGGUCCUUGCAGCCCGCGACCACGUCCUUGGCCCGCCUCCAAGGGAACCUCGAUUUUCCAAACCCGGGAAGGCCGGCUGUCCUUCGGCAACUGAGAAGGACGCGAGUGCGUGGUAAAAGGUGUUAACGAUGCCCGGAAAGAAAUAGCCGGACCCAAGAAAGAGACAAUCGUAGCCGCCAGCCAGAGUUCUCCGCUCGCGUGCUCAGCGGACUGAAGAACAAUAAUAACGACAGCAGCCACAAUAGCCACCUUUUAUUGAGCGCUUACUCGGUGCCAGGCACUGUGUAACGCGCUUUACAGGCAACAACCCUCGAAGGUAAGUACCGCUCUUCUCCUAUUUUGCAGGAAACGGGGGCACAGAGAGGUUAAGUAACUCGCCGCAAGCACACAGCUAGCGGAUGUCAGUGCCAGAAUUCCAACCCAGGCUGUCUGGUCCCAUUACUCCUCAGGUCAGUCCGCUGCGCCGGGAUCAUUCUCUUCAUCUUAACGAUGAGGAAGCGAAGGCACACGGACAUUUAAGUCCCUUGCCCAAGGUCACCCAGCUGCUGGAAGUGGAUGAGGCAGAAAGCGAACCCGGGGCUCCUCUCUGUCGGCAGAACCCGUCUUGGCGACAGACGACGACACUUUCAAACCGCCUCCGACAGCCCAGCAGGCUUUUGCCUCCGAACCCCAAGAGGCGCAGCCUCUUCGGAGUUUGGGUGGGUUCCCGCGGCCUCCGAUCCCCGAGCGAAUCAAUUAUUUCUGAGCACAGCAUCAUCUCUGCUCAGCUCGCAGGCGUCAGAAAGGGGCGCGUCUCCCGAAAUCCUGUCGGAGACCCGGCAGCGCGGUCCUCGCAAAGGAUGGAGCGGAGGCGGAGGCAGCGGGAGGGAUCCCGUGUCCCACCUGCAGGGCGGUGGGGCCGGCGCGCAGUUGACGAUUAGUCCAUCGCGGCCGGCAGAGGGCGCUGCCGCACGCGCCUCGGGUCCCAAGGCACCAAGGCCCCUGGACUGGCAGGCUCGACCUGCAGACCAGUAAACUCGGAACCCCCAGAGAGGAGGAGGUGGUUAAGGAAGGAGCCAACAGAUGAAAGGAUCUAUUUUCGACAUAGCUGCAAUGUGUUAAGUGCUCGUUUUGUGCUGUCCUUUCUGUGCCUUGAGACCUUAAUCCUCACUGCAGGCAUGAGAGGUGUGCAUCAUUAUUCUCACUUGACAGAUGAGGUCACACGACUGGUAAAUGGCAAUGCUGGGAACCCACUAGGGGGAUCUGACGUUCAAACCAUGUCCCCAUCACCCAGAAUGUACAAGCUGAUACAACUGGACAGAAGAGGUAAGGCAUAAACCAUGCAAAAACAAACCCAAAUCUGCUCUGAAUGCUUUUAAAACACCACAUGCGAAUUAGGGGCUUCAAUUGUUUUCUGAGCCCCCACUGAGGACUCAGUUGUCUAAAAAGAAAAACAAACCUAAAGGUGCAAUGAGAGAACAGGCAGGAGGCUGUAGCUUUCUCUUGGAAGAGCAUCCGGAGAGGCCCACUCACUUUCUAUGUCUGGGCUCUGAGAAAAUAAAGGUGGCUCUAGGAAAAUCUGAAAAGUAUGAGAGGGGAAAAAAAAUCCCUUCUGCGGUUUUUACUUUCACCAAGCCUCAUUCUGCUAUUCGUGUCUUAUUUUAAAACUAAUGUGGCUCUCUCCACCCUUUAAAUUGGCACGUAAAUAGUAAAAACAGAAGGAAGGCCAGCUACAAACUUCAAAUGCGGUGGGUUUCUCAGGAAGGAGGUACAUGACUUGAAGUGGAAAUGCGGAUCAAAUGAGGUGCCUUAAACAUUUCAAAGACAGACUUUCCACAAGGAAUUUAGAUCAUAAGCUCUUAGAACAGGAGCUUUGUCUGGGUUUGGGCUCAGUAUAGUGUCUAGAAUCUUUGAGUGCCCAAUAAAUGUGGAAAACAAAUCACACUUUUCAUCUAUGUCUGCAUCAUCUAACCAUCUGGGCCACAACUUGCUUAUGGUUUUAAAGUGAGGCUUCUGGGGGAUUUUCCUGUCCUCUGGAUCUCAGAUACACACCCUCCCCCAGACCCCUCACUUCUCCAGAAGUUUGCUCUGGGAAUCCAGUCAAGGUGAGGCAAUUGUUGAUGAUGUCAUCAGGCUUGGUUACACAGAGUGACUGCACACUCUGGAAUCACCAAGUGGAGGCCUUUCCAAACAAGGAAACCAAGCAGAAGGGGCCUCAGGCGACUUAUCCCUUAACAGUUCUCAAUCUCUUGCCCAAUGUCUUUGAACUAGAAGGAUUCCUCUCUUAUCCCCUACAAGAGAGCUCUGGACAUCCCAAGCUGCCUCUUAUAAAAUCCUUGGACUUCUUUGAUCUUUUCUCUCUCUGCUCCUUUCCUCAUUUUUUCAAUGCAUUUAUUCUACAAACAUGCAUCAAGAGCCCACAAUCUGUAGGUGCUAAGGGUACAGCAGAGAAUCUAACAUGGGCUUUGAGCUCACGUUUUCCCAUUCCUACCUGGCUCCUGACUCCAUAGCUCCAACUUUCUUGCCUGCAGAGGCCCCACAAUAUUAAAAGACUUGCUUCACCAGGUGAGACAUAUUUCACAUACAUAUCUGACAUUUUAUCAGCCCCUGGCAGCCCCCUGACCCUAUAGAGCAUCUUGCUGACACCCAUUUGGCACAAGUUCUCUGGGCUCUGAUAUACCCUUAGAAGCGGGACCUGGAGAUAGUACAGCACUUGUCCACAAUCCUUUUCAUCCUUCCUCAUCACUCCUUCAGUUCACAAGAUCACUGUUGAUGACAGAAACAGUUUGGGCCAUAUUUAUGAAACAUCUAUUACAAUAAAAAAAAUCUCAUAGUGCCAUAAUACCCCACUGGUCAAAGGAAAUUGCUGGCUUAAACAAACAGUGACUACCUGACAAAGGGAUGUGUCAGAUAAUGCUUAUGAAUUUUUCAGGUCAUUUUUUUUAAUGGAAUCUUGGGAAUGAGUGAUUCAUAAUAAUGAGGGGAAGGAAAAACAGUAGGCCUGUUUUAGCUCUCAAGAUUCUUCAACUGGAAUAGAUUUUUACCAUCAACAUCCUAGAAAAGACAGAAGGCAUAAGGUAAAUUGCCAGUGUUUGUCUUUUGGGAAACUAUUAAUACUAAAGAACCUUGGUCUUGACCCAUUCCAAAUAAAUAAAUAAAUAAAUAAAAGAAU